rnacentral:rRNA from 1 species
GUGAGGAAUAUUGGUCAAUGGACGCGAGUCUGAACCAGCCAAGUAGCGUGAAGGAUGACUGCCCUAUGGGUUGUAAACUUCUUUUAUAAGGGAAUAAAGUGAGGGACGUGUCCCUUUUUGUAUGUACCUUAUGAAUAAGGAUCGGCUAACUCCGUGCCAGCAGCCGCGGUAAUACGGAGGAUCCGAGCGUUAUCCGGAUUUAUUGUGUUUAAAGGGAGCGUAGGUUGACGUAUAAGUCAGCUGUGAAAGUUUACGGCUCAACCGUGAAAUUGCAGUUGAUACUGUAUGGCUUGAGUGUACAAGAGGUGGGCGGAAUUCGUGGUGUAGCGGUGAAAUGCUUAGAUAUCACGAAGAACUCCAAUUGCGAAGGCAGCUCACUGGGGUACAACUGACACUGAGGCUCGAAAGUGUGGGUAUCAAACAGGAUUAGAAACCCUUGUAGUCC